AUUGAACGCUGGCGGCAUGCCUUACACAUGCAAGUCGAACGGCAGCACGGGAGCAAUCCUGGUGGCGAGUGGCGAACGGGUGAGUAAUACAUCGGAACGUGCCCAGUAGUGGGGGAUAGCCCGGCGAAAGCCGGAUUAAUACCGCAUGAGACCUGAGGGUGAAAGCGGGGGAUCGCAAGACCUCGCGCUAUUGCAGCGGCCGAUGUCAGAUUAGCUAGUUGGUAGGGUAAAGGCCUACCAAGGCAACGAUCUGUAGUUGGUCUGAGAGGACGACCAGCCACACUGGGACUGAGACACGGCCCAGACUCCUCCGCGAGGCAGCAGUGGUGACUUUUGGACAAUGGGCGCAAGCGUGAUGCAGCAAUGCCGCGUGCAGCAAGAAGGACUUCGGGUUGUAAACUGCUUUUGUCAGGGAAGAAAUCUUCUGGGCUAAUACCCUGGGAGGAUGACGGUACCUGAAGAAUAAGCACCGGCUAACUACGUGCCAGCCGCCCCCGUGAGUC
rnacentral:rRNA from 1 species